rnacentral:misc_RNA from 1 species
GAUGAAGAACGUAGCGAAAUGCGAUAAGUAGUGUGAAUUGCAGAAUUCAGUGAAUCAUCGAAUCUUUGAACGCACAUUACGCCCCUUGGUAUUCCAUGGGGCAUGCCUGUUCGAGCGUCAUUUGUACCUUCAAGCUUUGCUUGGUGUUGGGUGUUUGUCUCGCCUUUGCGUGUAGACUCGCCUUAAAAUAAUUGGCAGCCGGCGUAUUGAUUUCGGAGCGCAGUACAUCUCGCGCUUUGCACUCAUAACGACAGCGUCCAAAAGUACAUUUUACACUCUUGACCUCGGAUCAGGUAGGGAUACCCGCUGAACUUAAGCAUAUCAAUAAGCGGAGGA